GACGAACGCUGGCGGCGCGCCUAACACAUGCAAGUCGAACGAGCGAGAGAGAGCUUGCUUUCUCGAGCGAGUGGCGAACGGGUGAGUAACGCGUGAGGAACCUGCCUCAAAGAGGGGGACAACAGUUGGAAACGACUGCUAAUACCGCAUAAGACCACAGCACCGCAUGGUGCAGGGGUAAAAACUCCGGUGGUAUGAGAUGGAUCCGCGUCUGAUUAGCUAGUUGGUAAGGUAACGGCUUACCAAGGCAACGAUCAGUAGCCGACCUGAGAGGGUGACCGGCCACAUUGGGACUGAGACACGGCCCAA
rnacentral:rRNA from 1 species